rnacentral:rRNA from 1 species
UACAGAGGGGGCAAGCGUUAUUCGGAAUUAUUGGGCGUAAAGCGUCCGCAGGUGGCUGUUCAAGUCUGCUGUCAAAGCGCAGAGCUUAACUCUGUAAAGGCGGUGGAAACUGUAGGUCUUGAGUAUGGUAGGGGUAGAGGGAAUUCCCGGUGUAGCGGUGAAAUGCGUAGAUAUCGGGAAGAACACCAGUGGCGAAAGCGCUCUACUGGGCCAUAACUGACACUGAGGGACGAAAGCUAGGGGAGCGAAAGGG